GACGAACGCUGGCGGCGUGCUUAACACAUGCAAGUCGAACGGAAAGGCCCUGCUUUUGUGGGGUGCUCGAGUGGCGAACGGGUGAGUAACACGUGAGUAACCUGCCCUUGACUUUGGGAUAACUUCAGGAAACUGGGGCUAAUACCGGAUAGGAGCUCCUGCUGCAUGGUGGGGGUUGGAAAGUUUCGGCGGUUGGGGAUGGACGCGCGGCUUAUCAGCUUGUUGGUGGGGUAGUGGCUUACCAAGGCUUUGGCGGGUAGCCGGCAUGGGAGGGUGGACGGCGACAUUGGGACUGAGAUACGGCCCAGACUGCUACGGGGGGCAGCAGUGGGGAAUAUUGCACAAUGGGCGGAAGCCUGAUGAAGAAGCGCCGCGUGCGGGAUGACGGCCUUCGGGUUGUAAACCGCUUUAGCCUGUGACGAAGCGUGAGUGACGGUAAUGGGUAAAGAAGCACCGGCUAACUACGUG
rnacentral:rRNA from 1 species